ACCUUCGUGGUGUAACUGAAAGCAUGUCCGACGCAUAAUCGGGAAGUUUGGGGUUCAAAUCCCAGCAAGGGCA
rnacentral:tRNA from 1 species